AACGGCAGCACGGGGGCAACCCUGGUGGCGAGUGGCGAACGGGUGAGUAAUAUAUCGGAACGUGCCCAGUCGUGGGGGAUAACGUAGCGAAAGUUACGCUAAUACCGCAUACGAUCUACGGAUGAAAGCGGGGGAUCGCAAGACCUCGCGCGAUUGGAGCGGCCGAUAUCAGAUUAGGUAGUUGGUGGGGUAAAGGCUCACCAAGCCAACGAUCUGUAGCUGGUCUGAGAGGACGACCAGCCACACUGGGACUGAGACACGGCCCAGACUCC
rnacentral:rRNA from 2 species